rnacentral:rRNA from 1 species
GAUGAACGCUGGCGGCGUGCCUAAUACAUGCCAGUCGAGCGAACAGACGAGGAGCUUGCUCCUCUGACGUUAGCGGCGGACGGGUGAGUAACACGUGGAUAACCUACCUAUAAGACUGGGGUAACUUCGGGAAACCGGAGCUAAUACCGGAUAAUAUAUUGAACCGCAUGGUUCAAUAGUGAAAGACGGUUUUGCUGUCACUUAUAGAUGGAUCCGCGCCGCAUUAGCUAGUUGGUAAGGUAACGGCUUACCAAGGCAACGAUGCGUAGCCGACCUGAGAGGGUGAUCGGCCACACUGGAACUGAGACACGGUCCAGACUCCUACGGGAGGCAGCAGUAGGGAAUCUUCCGCAAUGGGCGAAAGCCUGACGGAGCAACGCCGCGUGAGUGAUGAAGGUCUUCGGAUCGUAAAACUCUGUUAUUAGGGAAGAACAAAUGUGUAAGUAACUAUGCACGUCUUGACGGUACCUAAUCAGAAAGCCACGGCUAACUACGU